rnacentral:lncRNA from 1 species
UGUUUUUUUUUUUUUUUUUCCUUUUACAUGAAAAUUGAAAAGUGUUCAUGGCUUUAGCAACAGGCUUUUGGAGGGUUUUGUGUGAGGCUUUUCAUAUGAUAAUUGGUAGAUUCUAUGGCAACCAUUGAAAAAGAAGCCCUGAAAACAAAAGCUGCAGCAGAAGAGGAUCAGUACAUAUUCACUAUGUCUGCGGGAAUAACGGCAGAGACUCACUCUUCAGAAAGACACCUGAUCUCAAGACCCAUUGGAUGUUACGGAUUUCACUGACAGCACAGUCCUUGAUAAGCUUGAUAACUCCUAUCACAAUAAAAUCAGUGGGAAAAAAUAACUGCCA